rnacentral:rRNA from 1 species
AUUGAACGCUGGCGGAAUGCUUUACACAUACAAGUCGAACGGCAGCACGGGGCAACCUGGUGGCGAGUGGCGAACGGGUGAGUAAUACAUCGGAACGUGCCCAAUCGUGGGGGAUAACGUAGCGAAAGUUACGCUAAUACCGCAUACGAUCUACGGAUGAAAGCGGGGGAUCGCAAGACCUCGCGCGAUUGGAGCGGCCGAUAUCAGAUUAGGUAGUUGGUGGGGUAAAGGCCCACCAAGCCAACGAUCUGUAGCUGGUCUGAGAGGACGACCAGCCACACUGGAACUGAGACACGGUCCAGACUCCUACGGGAGGCAGCAGUGGGGAAUUUUGGACAAUGGGCGCAAGCCUGAUCCAGCAAUGCCGCGUGCAGGAUGAAGGCCUUCGGUUGUAAACUGCUUUGUACGGUAACGAAAAGGACUCUGGUUAAUACCUGGGGCGUCAUGACGGUACCGUAAGAAUAAGCACCGGCUAACUACGUGCCAGCAGCCGCGGUAA